GACUGUGCGAAGGUAGCAUAAUCAUUAGUUUUUUAAUCGAAAGCUUGUAUGAAUGGUUGGACGAAAUAAAUUCUGUCUCUUUUUAAUAAUUAGAAUUUUAUUUUUAAGUUAAAAAGCUUAAAUUUAUUUAAAAGACGAGAAGACCCUAUAAAGCUUUACUUUAUAUUUUAUUAUUAUUUUUAGGAUUUUUUAUUUUUUUAAUUUUAUAUAGAGUUUGAUUGGGGAAAUUUAAAGAUUAAAUUAAUUCUUUAUAUUGUUUUUCAUUAAUAUAUGUUUAUUUGAUCCAAAAUUUUUGAUUAUAAGAUUAAGUUACUUUAGGGAUAACAGCGUAAUUUUUUUAGAGAGUUCAUAUCGAUAAAGGAGUUUGCGACCUCGAUGUUGGAUUAAAAUUAUACCCGGGUGCAGAAGUUCGGGUGUUUGGUCUGUUCGACCAUUAAAAUUU
rnacentral:rRNA from 1 species